rnacentral:rRNA from 1 species
AUUGAACGCUGGCGGCAGGCCUAACACAUGCAAGUCGAGCGGUAGCACAGAGAGCUUGCUCUCGGGUGACGAGCGGCGGACGGGUGAGUAAUGUCUGGGAAACUGCCUGAUGGAGGGGGAUAACUACUGGAAACGGUAGCUAAUACCGCAUAACGUCGCAAGACCAAAGUGGGGGACCUUCGGGCCUCAUGCCAUCAGAUGUGCCCAGAUGGGAUUAGCUAGUAGGUGGGGCAAUGGCUCACCUAGGCGACGAUCCCUAGCUGGUCUGAGAGGAUGACCAGCCACACUGGAACUGAGACACGGUCCAGACUCCUACGGGAGGCAGCAGUGGGGAAUAUUGCACAAUGGGCGCAAGCCUGAUGCAGCCAUGCCGCGUGUGUGAAGAAGGCCUUCGGGUUGUAGAGCACUUUCAGCGGGGAGGAAGGCGAUAAGGUUAAUAACCUCAUCGAUUGACGUUACCCGCAGAAGAAGCACCGGCUAACUCCGUGCCAGCAGCCGCGGUAAUACGGAGGGUGCAAGCGUUAAUCGGAAUUACUGGGCGUAAAGCGCACGCAGGCGGUCUGUCAAGUCGGAUGUGAAAUCCCCGGGCUCAACCUGGGAACUGCAUUCGAAACUGGCAGGCUAGAGUCUUGUAGAGGGGGGUAGAAUUCCAGGUGUAGCGGUGAAAUGCGUAGAGAUCUGGAGGAAUACCGGUGGCGAAGGCGGCCCCCUGGACAAAGACUGACGCUCAGGUGCGAAAGCGUGGGGAGCAAACAGGAUUAGAUACCCUGGUAGUCCACGCCGUAAACGAUGUCGAUUUGGAGGUUGUGCCCUUGAGGCGUGGCUUCCGGAGCUAACGCGUUAAAUCGACCGCCUGGGGAGUACGGCCGCAAGGUUAAAACUCAAAUGAAUUGACGGGGGCCCGCACAAGCGGUGGAGCAUGUGGUUUAAUUCGAUGCAACGCGAAGAACCUUACCUGGUCUUGACAUCCACAGAACUUUCCAGAGAUGGAUUGGUGCCUUCGGGAACUGUGAGACAGGUGCUGCAUGGCUGUCGUCAGCUCGUGUUGCGAAAUGUUGGGUUAAGUCCCGCAACGAGCGCAACCCUUAUCCUUUGUUGCCAGCGGUCCGGCCGGGAACUCAAAGGAGACUGCCAGUGAUAAACUGGAGGAAGGUGGGGAUGACGUCAAGUCAUCAUGGCCCUUACGACCAGGGCUACACACGUGCUACAAUGGCAUAUACAAAGAGAAGCGACCUCGCGAGAGCAAGCGGACCUCAUAAAGUAUGUCGUAGUCCGGAUUGGAGUCUGCAACUCGACUCCGUGAAGUCGGAAUCGCUAGUAAUCGUAGAUCAGAAUGCUACGGUGAAUACGUUCCCGGGCCU